GCAUCUGUAACUGGAUUAAAAAUCUUUUCUUUCAGGAGGCCAUCCAGGCUUUAAGCUCACAAGAAAUCUUCUCCUGCGAGAGGAGAGAGGGACCCCCCGGAAGGGGCUGGAGGCUCUCCCUCUCAACAGGGACAGGAAGAAACUGAAAGCUGGAAUUCAUAACCAUUCCCUUACUCAAGUCUUUACAGGCUGUGCAGUAUACCCAGAAAGCCACCCAUAAGCUUGUUCCUGUACAACCCUUCCAGCCCAAGGACUCGGUAUAGGUAAAGAAGUUCACUGCCCAAGGACUCACCCCAACCUGGAAGGGAUGCUACACUGUUAUCCUGAGCACGCCCACGGCUGUUGAAGUAGACGGCGUCCAGACCUGGCUACACCACUCCCAGCUCCUGCACCAGGAAACGGCCUAGAUCCUGGCAACCAGCGGCCUCACCCGUGAAAUCCCUAGCCUGGACUCCACGCAGGCCAGGAGGAAACUCAACACCUGCAGGAGAAGAACUGGAAUUCACUGUGGACAGUACUGUUGGGGACUGUAGUACUAAAGGCCUUAACCAGAAGUAAAAGACAAAGUAAAAAUGCAAA